UACGUAGGGCGCAAGCGUUUAUCCGGAAUUAUUGGGCGUAAAGAGCUCGUAGGCGGUUUGUCGCGUCUGCCGUGAAAGUCCGGGGCUCAACUCCGGAUCUGCGGUGGGUACGGGCAGACUAGAGUGAUGUAGGGGAGACUGGAAUUCCUGGUGUAGCGGUGGAAUGCGCAGAUAUCAGGAGGAACACCGGUGGCGAAGGCGGGUCUCUGGGCAGUAACUGACGCUGAGGAGCGAAAGCGUGGGGAGCGAACAGG
rnacentral:rRNA from 1 species